rnacentral:rRNA from 1 species
UAAAAGUUAGGGUGCGCUCGAAACAUGCAAGUCGGGGGAAGUCGGAUUGCUGACGAGUGGCGGCGGGUGAGUAAUGCGUAGGAAUCUGCCUGGUCGUGGGGGACAACCUGGGGAAACUCAGGCUAAUACCGCAUACGCUCUGCGGAGGAAAGCGGGGGACCCGAGAGGGCCUCGCGCGAUCGGAUGAGCCUACGUCGGAUUAGCUAGUUGGUGGGGUAAAGGCUCACCAAGGCGACGAUCCGUAGCUGGUCUGAGAGGAUGAUCAGCCACACUGGGACUGAGACACGGCCCAGACUCCUACGGGAGGCAGCAGUGGGGAAUCUUGGACAAUGGGCGCAAGCCUGAUCCAGCGAUGCCGCGUGGGUGAAGACGGCCUGCGGGUUGUAAAGCCCUUUUGGUGGGGAAGAAAGGCGGGGUAUGAACAGUGCCCGGCUGUGACGUUACCCACAGAAGAAGCACCGGCUAACUCCGUGCCAGCAGCCGCGGUAAUACGGAGGGUGCGAGCGUUAAUCGAAAUUACUGGGCGUAAAGCGCGCGUAGGUGGUCAAGGCAGUCAGCUGUGAAAGCCCCGGGCUUAACCUGGGAAUGGCAGUUGAGACUUCUUGACUGGAGUGUGAGCGAGGACCGUGGAAUUCCCGGUGUAGCGGUGAAAUGCGUAGAGAUCGGGAAGAACACCGAUGGCGAAGGCAGCGGUCUGGAUCGACACUGACGCUGAGGCGCGAAAGCGUGGGGAGCAAACAGGAUUAGAUACCCUGUAGUCCACGCCCUAAACGAUGAGCACUAGACGUCGGGAGGGUUACUCCUCGGUGUCGCCGCUAACGCAGUAAGUGCUCCGCCUGGGAGUACGGCCGCAAGGUUG